rnacentral:rRNA from 1 species
GCGCAGCAGUCGCGAAAACUCCGCAAUGCGCGAAAGCGUGACGGGGCCAUCCCGAGUGCCGUCCGCUGAGGAUGGCUUUUCCCUAGUGUAGAUAGCUGGGGGAAUAAGGGGAGGGCAAGUCUGGUGUCAGCCGCCGCGGUAAUACCAGCUCUUCGAGUGGUGGGGAUGUUUAUUGGGCCUGAAGCAUCCGUAGCCGGCUGGGCAAGUCCUCCGUUAAAUCCAGCGAUUCAAUCGUUGGAUUGCGAGGGAUACUGUUCGGCUAGGGGGCGAGAGAGGCGAGCGGUAUUCCCGGGGUAGGGGUGAAAUCCUGUAAUCCCGGGAGGACCACCAGUGGCGAAGGCGGUUGGCUAGAACACACCCGACGGUGAGGGACGAAAGCUGGGGGAGCGAACCGGAUUAGAUACCCGGGUAGUCC